rnacentral:tRNA from 1 species
GGGGCUGGGGCUCAUAGGUAGAGCGCUCGCCUAGCAUGUGUGAGGCCCUGAGUUCAAUCCUCAGCACCA